GCCAGGGCCUGCCCACCCUCCCAGGGAGGAACUCCUUCCCAGUAUCAAAUCUAAACCUUCUUUGUGUUCCCUUCAGGCACUGAAAGGCUGCAAUUUCAUCAUCCCAGAGCCUUUUCUCCUCCAGGUGAACCCCCCCAGCUCUCCCAGUCUCUCUCCAGAGCAGAGGGCUCCAUCCCUCAGAUCAUCCCUGUGGACUCUCUCCUCCAGCACCUCCAUGUCCUUCCUGUGCUGGCAGCCCCAGAGCUCAGCACUCCAGCCCUGCUGCAGUGCUGGCACUCCUGCACGUCCAGAAAGGCUCUGUUUCCUUACCCUGAGAAUGACUUCAGCAGACACUAAAAUUC